GAAAAACAUGCAUUCCUAUCUCACCAAGUUGGCUUUCUUGGAAGACAUCAGGACCCUACUCAAGGAGGAUGGAAAGACCUGCUAGAAACAAACAAGUCUCCUCAGAGGAAGAAGAGAGAACAUAUACCGGAGGAAGUGAGGACCAUGACAAAAGAGAAAUAUUGUGACAUGUACACACUGGAUAACUUACUUUCCGUUUUUUGCCUUUUCAUCACUUCUUCUGCCUGUAUUCUGAGUCCAAGGAACCACGGUGAUGGUUUGCUCGUAUCUUCUGCUUAAGCCUAGAGUGAUGAAUCACACUGCUUCUCACUCCAAAACCUCCUUUGUGUGCUGUACAAGGGUA